rnacentral:tRNA from 1 species
GCCGUGGUGGUGGAAUUGGUAGACACGCCAGCUUGAGGGGCUGGUGUCCGAAAGGACGUGCGGGUUCAAGUCCCGCCCACGGCACCA